AAGUCCAGAUUGAGGCUGUACUUGUAGAAGGAGGAAAACAACGCAGUGCAGAUUUACAACGCAGUCGUGAUGUGAGACAUGCUGAAUGCCAGGUUGGCUCAACAGAGAAUGUUCCCAGGGAAAGAAUAGGACCAGUUUGGAUGAGACUAUUGACUCUCCUGUCAGGGGACCAUAGGGUAGAGCAGGGUCCUCUCCUAGUGCUACAUGGACCAUACAUCCCGGGGCUGUUGCUCAGGGCUGUUCAGGUCUUCAGGGCAGUUGACAGCUGUCAGAGGCAGAGAGAUCCUCAUUCAAGUCUCUGUCCCUGACAGCUGUUGACAGCCCAGCAGCUGUUGACAGUUAAUCCUAAAAGUGUGUCAUGUCUGGGGAAUGGAGGAAAUUCUUCCUCUCCUGCAAACCUCCUUUUCCUGAGAAGAAGGCAAUCUCAGAGGCCUGCGUUUUGAAAGAGAGAAACCUCACCAGGCUAGACGUAGGUCAGAGGUGUUCAUAGCCACCUUUUCCCUCAGAUCCUGUUGCCAGUUCAUGCUGCCUUUUGAAGAAACUCGGUCCUUUCCCUUCUGAGCAGCUGUAGAUUUCCCCUCAGAAGACACUGCAAACAUCGGAUCAAGCGGGUAGUGGAUGUUACACCUCCCCUUUGGUGCUGAGUCUUCUGGGCCUGACACCAGCAGCCUGAGUUUUGGGCAUCCCUGUGAUCUCCAGCAGCAAGGCUGGGACCACGCUGCAAAAUGCCAUUUGCUUCAAGACACAACUGCCUCCUGUCUGUUCUGGGGCUAGUUAAAGUAUCAGCCAGAAGAGUACCUUGUUUGGACUGUGUUUGGAAGAGGAAAAUUGAUGAAUGAGGGUGGCUCAUCAAAAUUUCCGGAUACUGCAGCUCUGGUCGGUCAAGGUCUGGCUCCCAUCCAGUGACAAGAAGAGAGGGUGUGAAGAAAAUAUUAUGAGCUUCUGGUGGUGAUAUCAUCACAGAUGUCUUGUGACCUAUCUGUUGCCCAGAAGGACUUCAUCUGGGAAGACAAGAAGCCUAGCAUACGCUGCAAAUGUUUUAAGUCCAGUCUCUUCAUAUUAUGCAAUCACACAGUAGGGCCUGGACUUAUGUGUCUUGAGUAGAGGCACUUGCCUUUGACUUCUGACCAUAGGAAUUUCAGGAGGAGAGAAAGAGAGAAGAGCCUGUAGGAUUCCCUGGGAAUGGGGAGUCAAGGUUGAAGAGAAAAUUGAGAAGAGAUGGCCUUGGCUGGCUGAGGAAAGAGGGCUGAGGUACAGUUUAUCUUUGUAUGUCUUUGUGCCUGACAGAGUGAGGAGCAGAGGAGGAGAUGUGAAAAGAAGACAUGGAGAAGAAAUCCUCCAGGGUUUUCACUGAGCCUGACCAGUGCAGGCGAGCUGUGGCCUUCAGGACAGUAUUUGGAAGAGUUUUCUAGCAGGAGAGUGGGGGAAAUCAUACUUGGUUGUGAGGAGGCAGUGACUUGAAAGGUAGAGAGUCGCCACAUGGAUGUUCUCCACUGAGUCUUCUGCGGUUUGAACAUAGCUGCUUUCUGACCAGUCGUUAACAAUACGCACCUUUUCUUGGAGCAAGCAGUUUGUUCAGGUU